AAGGAUCAUUACUGAGUGAGGGUCCCUCGGGGCCCAACCUCCCACUCGUGUAUACCGUACCUUGUUGCUUCGGCGGGCCCGCCGCGCAAGCGGCCGCCGGGGGGGCGUCAAACCCCCCUCCCUAGGCGAGCGCCCGCCGGAGACACCAACGUGAACACUGUCUGAAGUUUUGUUGUCUGAGUUCGAUUGUAUCGCAAUCAGUUAAAACUUUCAACAAUGGAUCUCUUGGUUCCGGCAUCGAUGAAGAACGCAGCGAAAUGCGAUAAUUAAUGUGAAUUGCAGAAUUCAGUGAAUCAUCGAGUCUUUGAACGCACAUUGCACCCCCUGGUAUUCCGGGGGGUAUGCCUGUCCGAGCGUCAUUGCUGCCCUCAAGCACGGCUUGUGUGUUGGGUCGUCGUCCCCCCGGGGACGGGCCCGAAAGGCAGCGGCGGCACCGCGUCCGGUCCUCGAGCGUAUGGGGCUUUGUCACCCGCUCUUGUAGGCCCGGCCGGCGCUGGCCGACGCUGAAAAGCAACCAACUAUUUCUCCAGGUUGACCUCGGAUCAGGUAGGGAUACCCGCUGAACUUAA
rnacentral:rRNA from 1 species